rnacentral:rRNA from 1 species
AUUGCACGCUGGCGGCAGGCCUAACACAUGCAAGUCGAACGAGUGGCGUACGGGUGUGUAAUGUCUGGGACACUGCCUUAUUGAGGGGUAUAACUACUGGAAACUGUAGCUAAUACCGCAUACCAUCAGAUGUGCCCAUAUGGGAUGAGCUAGUUGGUGGGGUAACGGCUCACCAAGGCGACGAUCCCUAGCUGGUCUGAGAGGAUGACCAGCCACACUGGAACGGAGACACGGUCCAGACUCCUACGGGAGGCAGCAGUGGGGAAUAUUGCACAAUGGGCGCAAGCCUGAUGCAGCCAUGCCGCGUGUAUGAAGAAGGCCUUCGGGUUGUAAAGUACUUUCAGCGGGGAGGCGUUACCCGCAGAAGAAGCACCGGCUAACUCCGUGCCAGCAGCCGCGGUAAUUC